rnacentral:rRNA from 1 species
GGCCUACGGGAGGCAGCAGUGGGGAAUAUUGGGCAAUGGGCGCAAGCCUGACCCAGCGACGCCGCGUGAGGGAAGACGGUCUUCGGAUUGUAAACCUCUUUCAGCAGGGAAGACAAAAGGACGGUACCUGCGGAAGAAGCCACGGCUAACUACGUGCCAGCAGCCGCGGUAAUACGUAGGUGGCAAGCGUUAUCCGGAAUUACUGGGUGUAAAGGGUGUGUAGGCGGGGUUGCAAGUCAGAUGUGAGAAUUAUGGGCUCAAACCAUAACCUGCGUCUGAAACUACAGAUCUUGAG